UGGGAGAGUUGCGGAGGGGGAGCAGUGGGGUUUGAACCCGGGACCUCACUGUUCACACACAGGAGGUCGCACCGCUUGGUGUUCCCUUGGGGACUUUAAAAUUACCUUUUAAAUAUAUAUAUACGUUAAGGAUAACUAUGCAUUUAUUACCUAUGUGCCCACGAUGAGAUUUUUAAUCCAACAAAAGAAAUACUCCCUCCGUCCCAGUUGAAAUGUCUUGUUUCUUUUCGGCACAGAAAUUAAGAAAUGUGUAU
rnacentral:lncRNA from 1 species